UUGGUAGAUGGUCCAGCAGAUCCAGCAUCGGCUCCAGGAGCAGAACCCGGGCCAGCUGCACCAGGCUGGUUAUAAAGCGAUUGCCCGAGCUGCAUCACCUCCUGGUUCAGGGCUGCCAUUGUGUCCUUCAUGCUUUGGGUUGAUCCACCAGCAACAGCAUCCUUGAGGUCCUUCAGCUUUGCUUCCACCUUUUCCUUGACUUCGGCAGGUACCUUGUCUCCGAGCUCCUUCAGUUGCUUUUCGGUCUGAUAAAUCACAGACUCAGACUGGUUCUUUGUAUCAAUGUCGUCCCUCUUCUCCUUGUCCUCUUUGGCAA
rnacentral:lncRNA from 1 species